AUUCAAAAGUCUUUCAUUUUCUGCUGGUCUCUGCUGCCCUCUUGUGUCUAAACAGAGGUACUUGACUAUCAUCAUUAACUGCAGCUCUGUCAUCAUCUCAAGUUACAAUGGUAGUUUGCUGCAUCAUAGCUACUCUCGCACAUCUACCCUUCCAGUUUUUUAGGUGUUUUAAGUGUUUCUUAACCCCGACCCUUUUCCACACGCCCACAAAGUCCUGUGGAUGGUCUAGAAGCACAUUAGUGGAAAUAUAUUUUCCUACAGUGUAGUCUGCAAUCAUCCCCUGCUUGGUUACUGUAUUCUGACUUCUGUGCUUUCUGCAUCACCGCCCUUUUUUCCCAGAUCUGAGUUUGUACUUGAUAUUCACUACUUCCAAUCAUAGUCAUGUUAUUUAAUGUGAUAAAUAACUACAAUAUCGCUGUUUGUUUCACGAGUAUCUUCUUAAAGCAUCAUCUUAAAAUAAACCUAAAACAUAUAUUUUUAGUUUAUGCUAGGUCAAGAUGCACAGAGUGGUGUUCUUCCCAGGGAAAAUCAGUGUUAUGUUCCGCAAGUGACCACUCGGAUUUCUCCUUCAGGAGCCAUGUGAAGAAGCCAGACGAAUUAAGGACGACCCCACUCUGCAGAACGAGUUUACUCUUAUGAUACAACUGCUCAACUGCAGGCAUCAUGAGUUGAUGCUCCAGCCUAACCAGGUGUGAAGAGUUUAGCAGUGCACCAGCAGAGAGCGGAUGGCCACUGAAUUGUUCCAGGCCCAGAGCAUGAACGGGGUGGCACAGUGGAACUACCAAUGACUGGUGAACCUUAAGCAGCCAGGUGUCAUCCUCCCUGCUGUGUUUGAUCCAGCUGUAACGGCUGAGUUGAAGUCUGCCUCCAAGAAUCUGUUGGCCAGCCGCUCUCUGCUGGUGCACUGCUAAAGCAGGAGAUGCCGACAGACGACCACCAGGAACUUCCAGCAGCAAUGGGACUCUCACAUGCCCUGCCCCUGCCGCUGAGGUCCUCGCCAAGGAAUGCCCGCACUGGACCCACACCCAAGACACGUGGACGGGUUUUUUUGUGUUGGACAACACACGAUGGACGCCACCCAUAACAGAUGCUAUUGACGCAUGCGUUAUCUUUAAUAACAGUACACGCUAUUCCAUUUGUGUAAAUACUGAGGUAUG